CGGGAAAGUAUAACGAGGAUGCUGAUUUGGUUUUUGUCUCCGAAGUUAGAUGGAAUGCUUUGGAAGCAUGGCAAAGGAAUCAUAGUUACGAGCAACUUCAGUUUGGUCCAUCGGUAAUUAAUCAUGAAUUGCUUAACCGUGUCAUUACUCACUGCAAGUGGCUGCACAAUCCAGAAAUGGAUGCAAUGAUGUAUUUAUUCCGGGAGAAAACAUCUUUAGGUGAAAUGAAGGCAGACCAUGUUGGUUUCAUGAAUUGCAUGUUCAGUGAGAGAAUCAAAGUGGAAUACACCAAGUACUUGAAGACAAAGCGGCAGCACAAAUGGGAUAGUAGACUUCUCGAGAAUGCUAAUGGUGAGUUUCCUUCUCACGGAAAGACAGGAAAACAAUGGGGUACAGAUGUUGACAGGAUAUACGCUCCGAUUUGCGUCAACGGCAAC